rnacentral:rRNA from 1 species
CAUUUCUUUUACUUGUAAGAGGUUUGUAAUAAACGCGGGCACAAACGCUUUUCACGAAACGCGUAAAAGGCUCGCUACGCCGUCUGAAACCCACAGUAAGUGCACAAGUGUAGAGUGGAUGAGCAGGGCGUGCACAUGCCUCGGAAGGCCAGCUACAACCCAGUCAAAACUCGAUAAUGAUCCUUCCGUAGGUGAACCUGCGGAAGGAUCAUUAUCGAGUUUUGACUGGGUUGUAGCUGGCCUUCCGAGGCAUGUGCACGCCCUGCUCAUCCACUCUACACUUGUGCACUUACUGUGGGUUUCAGACGGCGUAGCGAGCCUUUACGGGUUCGUGAAAGCGUCUGUGCCCGCGUUUAUUACAAACUCUUACAAGUAAAAGAAUGUGUAUUGCGAUAUAACGCAUCUAUAUACAACUUUCAGCAACGGAUCUCUUGGCUCUCGCAUCGAUGAAGAACGCAGCGAAAUGCGAUAAGUAAUGUGAAUUGCAGAAUUCAGUGAAUCAUCGAAUCUUUGAACGCACCUUGCGCUCCUUGGUAUUCCGAGGAGCAUGCCUGUUUGAGUGUCAUGAAAUCUUCAACCUAUAAACCUUUGCGGGUUUGUAGGCUUGGACUUGGAGGCUUGUCGGCCUAACGGUCGGCUCCUCUUAAAUGCAUUAGCUUGAUUCCUUGCGGAUCGGCUCUCGGUGUGAUAAUUGUCUACGCCGCGACACGUGAAGCGUUUGGCGAGCUUCUUAAUCGUCUCUUAUGAGACAACACAUUGACCUCUGACCUCAAAUCAGGUAGGACUACCCGCUGAACUUAAGCAUAUCAAUAAGCGGAGGAA